GCCUGUGUUGUUCAAUGUUGAGAGCAUCAGUCUGAGGACUGAAGGAUCCAGGUUCAAUUCCCGAUCAAGGGCA
rnacentral:tRNA from 1 species